rnacentral:tRNA from 1 species
ACCCUAACUUGGCAGAAUAAUUGCAUUAAACUUAGAAUUUAAACAUACUCUCA